rnacentral:rRNA from 1 species
GAAGUAAAAGUCGUAACAAGGUUUCCGUAGGUGAACCUGCGGAAGGAUCAUUACAAGUUGAAACGGUUGCCCUCGCGGUGACCGGUUCUUCAAACCUCUGCGUACCAAACCUUUCAGUUGCCUCCGGCGGCCCUGGGCCGACGCGGCGCGCGACCUCCCCGUUCGCGGGGGGGCCGCUCCUCGCGGCGGACCACCCGCCGGGCGGUCGUAAACCAAACCUUUUGUCGAGAUGGCAUCGUCUAACUUCUUCAUAACACAAUAUGAAAUACAACUUUUAACAAUGGAUCUCUUGGCUCCGGCAUCGAUGAAGAACGCAGCGAAAUGCGAUAACUAGUGUGAAUUGCAGAUUUCAGUGAAUCAUCGAGUCUUUGAACGCACAUUGCGCCUCUUGGUAUUCCUCGAGGCAUGCCUGUUCGAGCGUCGUUACGCCCCUCAAGCGCAAGCUUGGUGUUGGGGAUCGCCCCUGAGAUACGGCGGCGGCCCUUAAAUGCAUCGGCGGUGCUGGUGUCAGCCCGGAGCGCAGCAGACAUGCGGCUUCCAGGCGACCACGCGCCCGCCGGACAACGACCCGACCUUCAAACGUCGACCUCGGAUCAGGUAGGGAUCCAUG